CGAACGAACGCUGGCGGCAGGCCUAACACAUGCAAGUCGAGCGCCCCGCAAGGGGAGCGGCGGACGGGUGAGUAACGCGUGGGAACGUACCCUUUGCUACGGAAUAGCCUCGGGAAACUGGGAGUAAUACCGUAUGUGCCCUUCGGGGGGAAAAGAUUUAUCGGCAAAGGAUCGGCCCGCGUUGGAUUAGGUAGUUGGUGGGGUAAUGGCCUACCAAGCCGACGAUCCAUAGCUGGUUUGAGAGGAUGAUCAGCCACACUGGGACUGAGACACGGCCCAGACUCCUACGGGAGGCAGCAGUGGGGAAUCUUAGACAAUGGGCGCAAGCCUGAUCUAGCCAUGCCGCGUGAGCGAUGAAGGCCUUAGGGUUGUAAAGCUCUUUCAGUGGGGAAGAUAAUGACUGUACCCACAGAAGAAGCCCCGGCUAACUCCGUG
rnacentral:rRNA from 1 species